UUGGAGAAGGAACUCGGCAAAUUGACACCGUAACUUCGGGAGAAGGUGUGCCUCUAGUAGGUGAACCCGUACAGGGGGAGCCCAAUGAGGUCUCAGAAAAUCGGUGGCUGCGACUGUUUAUUAAAAACACAGCACUCUGCAAACACGAAAGUGGACGUAUAGGGUGUGACGCCUGCCCGGUGCUGGAAGGUUAAGUGAUGGGGUGCAAGCUCCUGAUCGAAGCCCCAGUAAACGGCGGCCGUAACUAUAACGGUCCUAAGGUAGCGAAAUUCCUUGUCGGGUAAGUUCCGACCUGCACGAAUGGCGUAACGCUGGCCACACUGUCCCCUCCAGAGACUCAGCGAAGUUGAAAUGGUUGUGAUGAUGCAAUCUACCCGCGGCUAGACGGAAAGACCCCGUGCACCUUUACUGUAACUUUGCAUUGGACUGUGAACCGAUCUGUGUAGGAUAGCUGGGAGGCUUUGAAGUGGGGGCGCUAGCUCUCAUGGAGCCAACGUUGAAAUACCAGCCUGAUUGUUUUGCGGUUCUAACCUAGGCUCGUCAUCCGGGCCGGGGAUCGUGCAUGGUAGGCAGUUUGACUGGGGCGGUCUCCUCCCAAAGAGUAACGGAGGAGUACGAAGGUACGCUUACCACGGUCGGAAAUCGUGGCUUAAUGUGCAUUGGCAAAAGCGUGCUCGACUGCGAGACGUACAUGUCGAGCAGGUGCGAAAGCAGGUCAAAGUGAUCCGGUGGUUCUGUAUGGAAGGGCCAUCGCUCAACGGAUAAAAGGUACGCCGGGGAUAACAGGCUGAUUCCUCCCAAGAGUUCAUAUCGACGGGGGAGUUUGGCACCUCGAUGUCGGCUCAUCACAUCCUGGGGCUGUAGCCGGUCCCAAGGGUAUGGCUGUUCGCCAUUUAAAGUGGUACGUGAGCUGGGUUUAAAACGUCGUGAGACAGUUUGGUCCCUAUCUACCGUGGGCGUUGGAAGUUUGAGGGGGGCUGCUCCUAGUACGAGAGGACCGGAGUGGACGCAUCCCUGGUGUACCGAUUGUCACGCCAGUGGCAUUGUCGGGUAGCUAUAUGCGGAAGGGAUAACCGCUGAAAGCAUCUAAGCGGGAAACCUGCCCCAAGAUGAGACUUCCCGGAGGCUUGACCUCCCUGAAGGGUCGUCCUAGACCAGGACGUUGAUAGGCUGGGUGUGCAAGGGCUGCGAGGCCUUCAGCUAACCAGUACUAAUUGCCCGUGUGGCUUGACCCU
rnacentral:rRNA from 1 species